UUCGGGAACUUGUACAGGUGCCGCAUGGCUGUCGUCAGCUCGUGUCGUGAGAUGUUCGGUUAAGUCCGCUAACGAGCGCAACCCUCGCUGUGUGUUACAAGUGUCACACGGAACUGCCGGUCAUAAACCGGAGGAAGGUGGGGAUGACGUCAAGUCAGCAUGGCCUUUAUAUCCUGGGCUACACACACGCUACAAUGGGAGGGGACAAUAGGUUGCGAAGCCGCGAGGCGGAGCCAAUCCAGCAAAACUUCCCUCAGUUCAGAUUGCAGGCUGCAACUCGCCUGCAUGAAGUUGGAGCUGCUAGUAAACGCAGGUCAGCCAUACUGCGUUGAAUACGUUCCCGGGGCUU
rnacentral:rRNA from 1 species